AAUGUCUAUGACCUUCCUCGUAUUGUCCCCCCCUUGCCUUCCUUUUACAAAUCCGACCUGGUCGUUUUUGAUUAGUUGUGGGAUUAUGUUUCCCAACCUAGUGGCGUAUAUUUUCGCGAGUUUUGUGUCUGUGUUUAGUAAUGAGAUCGGGCGAAAGUUUUGUGGGUGAGUGGGUGGCUUGCCCGGUUUAGGCAGCGUAAUGAUGUG